CCUCACUCCCACAUCUUAACGAUGCUGAGAACACAGCUUCGUUGACAUUUUUUGUCUUACUGGAACGCAGCGCCUUGAUAAGGUUAAUUGCCCAUUUCUGUCAUACCCUUCAUAACUGAAUGGGCAUGCUAAUAACUCCUUCAAGGACUCUUUGAUGUGGCGAACUUUCAACGUUCAACUGCCGCGAUGAGGGUAUUUCUCGAUUCGAUCUGGGAGCGGGAAUGGGAAUUCUUUUCGCUCACAUAUCUUAUAUGUCUCUUGGCUGUCGCACAUAUCGAAUUCUGAUUUGACGCUCAUCGUCGGCGACAUAACACAAAUAUUUGGGCACACAGCAGGCGACACAUUUUGCGACAGUUCCGCCAGAGGUCAUCGGAAAUCAAAGGGGGGAAUAUAAACCACAACAAAUGCAGCUGGCAAGCAAACAAGAGAUGUCAAAAACAAUUGAAAUAG